UUAAAUUUCAACAAUAAAGUAAAAAAGAUUUUAAUUGGUGUCGUGUAUAAGUUAAAUUGUACUUACAGUGAAGAGAUGUAUUGUGUAGGAGAAACUAAACGAAUACUGGGAACAAGACUGAAAGAGCACGAAGCAGUCACUCGGUUAAAAUAUCAUCAGUCGCCGUGUUUUCCUCGUUGUGAAAAGAGAAUAAUUAUGGAAUUAGUACAGAUUCAAAAUUAAUCCAUGAGAGACAAGCCAAGAAUGCAUCCUAUCAAACAUCUUCCUGCAACAGGUCAUCCGUCACGACUGGAAUCGAUACAUCUAGAUAAUUUUAUGUCAUCAGCAUGCAUAAGAACAUUUGAACCGGUUACCAAGGAAGAUAAAGCCAUCAUUAAAAAGAGCAAACAACAACGGACCAAGUAUCAUCCCCUGCCUAACCCCCGACACAGGUAGAUAGAAUGUGGUCAGAUAGAAUGUUGGGAGACUUUCACUGUAUAAUGUCUGCCCAUUAAAUAGGAGCAAAAAGGAUAAAGCUUUUAAAAUAAUAGUGAGGUUUACAGAAUUUGUGGGAAGUAGAAAGCCACUAAUAUUUUUCAUCUUGAAAUACCGGUAGCAAUUAGGAGAUAAGUCUCUCCUUUUAUUUUUUUCUGAUUUUUUAUGCAAAUAUGUCUUGAUUUUUAAUGGUUUUUGUGAUUUUAUUGCAUUCCCACGGAAGGACUGGCCAGAAAUGCUAGCAUGUUUUUGUGAUGGUAGAUUAGCCUCCAGUUUUCAUAGAAUUUUUUAGCAUUUUUAGGGUAUAAAUGUUGUGGGAGAUGUUUUUUGUAGUUUUUUUGUGAUUUUUGUUUUGUUUUUAAUGGGCAUGUGUUUCAAAUUUGAUGGUUUUUAUUGUUUUUGAAACCUCCCACAAAGUUUUGUCCUAGAAAUUUUUAAAAUUUUUUGUUCCUUAAAAUGUUGCCGAUUUUGGGGUUACAUGCUUUAUUUUGUUUUCCAAGUUGGGAGAUUUAAAAUUUGGAAUUGUUUUUCUUCGUUUUGUGAGGUUGGGAGUGAUUUUUUUUUUUUAUGAUUUUGUUAUCUCCCACCAGAUCUGUCCUAGAAAUUUAUUGGAGUUUUGAAAUAUUGAGAAUUUUGGGAGAUUUCAAAAAGUCCUAAAUUUUGAGAAUUUUUGCUUGUUUUUUUGUUUUUUGGUCAUCUCCAAGAUAUGU